rnacentral:rRNA from 1 species
UACGUAGGGUCCGAGCGUUGUCCGGAAUUACUGGGCGUAAAGCGCGCGCAGGCGGCCCGCGGGGUGUCACGUGAAAGCCCCGGGCUCAACCCGGGAGGGUCGUGGCAAACCGGCGGGCUUGAGGCCGGUAGAGGUGGGUGGAACUCCUGGUGGAGUGGUGAAAUGCGUAGAGAUCAGGAAGAACACCCGUGGCGAAGGCGGCCCACUGGGCCGGUACUGACGCUGAGGCGCGAAGGCGUGGGGAGCGAACGGG